rnacentral:misc_RNA from 1 species
UAACAAGGUUUCCGUAGGUGAACCUGCGGAAGGAUCAUUACCACACCUAAAAACUUUCCACGUGGACCGUUUCACAAAUGAAUUGGAGGCGAUCUCGGUGGCGGCUGCUGGUCUUUUGAUUGGCUGGCUGCUACUUUGUGAGCCUCAUCAUGUCGAACAAUUGGACUUCGGUCUGAUGUAGUAGUAUUCUUUUAAACCAUUACUUCAUUACUGAUUAUACUGUGGGGACGAAAGUCUCUACUUUUAUCUAGAUACAACUUUCAGCAGUGGAUGUCUAGGCUCGCACAUCGAUGAAGAACGCUGCGAA